CUUCGUUCCAUUUUGAUAAUGGUUCGAGGGGUGUUGCGUUUCAGAGGGUCUAGCACACCAUCUACCACUGCCUAAGUUUCCGCUUGAAAGUGUCUUUACCAUGGAGGGUGACAGUCCCGUAUGGCAGAUGCCCGUGAGGGUAAGGGGGAUGGUGGAAAGGGCCUCUCUGUAGAGUCAGGUUGCUUAAUACUGCAACCUAAAGAGGUGGUAAACUCCAUCUAAGGCUAAAUAUUACCACGAGACCGAUAGCGAACAAGUACCGUGAGGGAAAGUUGAAAAGGACUUUGAAGAGAGAGUUCAAUAGUACGUGAAACCGUUAAGAGCCUAAACGGAUGGGACCAAUGCAGAUCGAACUGAGGGGAUUCAGCUCGCCGGUAUUGACUCGUUAUGAGGUUGAAACAGAAUUGCGAAGCGAUCCUGACCAAAGGGUUGAGCAGCAGCAGGCGUUGUGAUUGAUUUUGCCUCGUUUUGUUGUUGUCUUAUAUUCUUCAGGCGCGGCCUUAAAACUGAGAAUGUGCUGGUUGGCGUAUUUCGCCUCUAAAGUAGAUCACUGCGACCUGUUGCGGGGAAGUCGAAGGCCCGGGUGGAUUGGUAGCCUUAUGCCAAUUAUGGUAUUGUGAUCCUUGGCAACAAUCUGAACAAGUGAGCCUUGGUGAGCAGCUGUAUGUCGGUGUUUUGUGAAACCUCCGGUGACAUAUCCUAACUGCCCUGCGAUAGUUGUUAGUGGAGCCUUUCCCACCACGGGAAUGGCUCUCGCAGUGCGUGCAAAGAGGGCCAGGAACCAACCGACCCGUCUUGAAACACGGACCAAGGAGUCUAACAUGUAUGCGAGUCUAAGGGUAUUUACUAAACCUAUAGGCGGAAUGAAGGUGAGUGAGAAUUCACGCACUGUGGCAUUGUAAUGAGGUGCUGCGCAGGACUGAUCCCUUGGGCUGGUACCUUGGAAGGUUCAACUAAGGGGGCUAGUACGUUGGUGAGACCCUAUCCCAGCCGAAUGCUUGAGUUUGAGAUUCAUUGUCUGGUUGGAUUGGACAGGUUAAGGUGCUGAGAAUCUGAUACAUCAGAGGAGGCGUAAGUCCGGGACAUGACCUUAGCUUAAAUGUGAAGGAAGUACUUGUUUCAAAGUGGCGCGCAUCAUAUGCUCCCCUGGCAGUACAUUCGACGCUGCAGUGAUAACUAUUGUUAAAAGCUUAGUUACGGCUGGAGUGGGGUGUAGUGUUCAGGUCUUCAGUUGGGCAAGAUUUGGUGGUCAUACAAAACUAAUUCUUCUGAGGACUUGUACCUGUAGCAUACAUGUUAGUACCCGAAAGAUGGUGAACUAUGCCUGGCCGGGAUGAAGCCAGAGGAAACUCUGGUGGAGGUCCGAAGCAAUUCUGACGUGCAAAUCGAUUGUCAGAGCUGGGCAUAGGGGCGAAAGACUAAUCGAACCGUCUAGUAGCUGGUUCCCUCCGAAGUUUCCCUCAGGAUAGCUGGUACUCACAAUGAGAGUUUCAUCCGGUAAAGAGAAUGAUUAGAGGUGAUGGGGACGAAAUGUCCUCAACCUAUUCUCAAACUUUAAAUGGGUGAGAAUGGCCAAGCUUUCUUAAAAACAUUUGUGAUGGCAGCAAUGAAAUUGUUGUGUUGAUCUUAUGAAUAUGAAGCUUUGGCAUUGGAAUCAGAGUACCAAGUGGGCCACUUUU
rnacentral:rRNA from 1 species